rnacentral:piRNA from 1 species
UACCAAACUUCUGAGCUCCCUCA